rnacentral:rRNA from 1 species
GGGAAUAUUGCACAAUGGGGGGAACCCUGAUGCAGCGACGCCGCGUGGGUGAGGAAGUACUUCGGUAUGUAAAGCCCUAUCAGCAGGGAAGAAAAUGACGGUACCUGACUAAGAAGCCCCGGCUAACUACGUCCCCGCAGCCGCGGUAAUACGUAGGGGGCAAGCGUUAUCCGGAUUUACUGGGUGUAAAGGGAGCGUAGACGGCGUGCCAAGUCUGAUGUGAAAGGCCGGGGCUCAACCCCGGGACUGCAUUGGAAACUGGCAUGCUGGAGUGCCGGAGGGGCAAGCGGAAUUCCUAGUGUAGCGGUGAAAUGCGUAGAUAUUAGGAGGAACACCGGUGGCGAAGGCGGCUUGCUGGACGGUAACUGACGUUGAGGCUCGAAAGCGUGGGGAGCAAACA